UGGCAGAUGGUUAAGACAACAACCAACCAUCUCGUCAGAUAAAAGAAGCAUUCCAGAAAAUGUCAAGAAUUUCCAGGCACUUUGUGGAUUUUCCAGAUGAUAAAUGAUAAUUUUGCUGCUUUUAUUAGCUGCUGAAUUUUCUUAACUCACCCAGCAUUGAUACAGACAGAGCAGGGCAUGGCAGACCCCGCAGUUCCGUUUCAUCAUACUUGCCCACUACACGAUGUUGCUAUGCAUCCAUGGACUGACAGAUUGUCUGGGGGAUCUUGUAGGUACCAUUUCUCCUCCUUCCAGUAAAAGCAAUCCUAAA
rnacentral:lncRNA from 1 species